CUAAAAAAUUUCAAGCCCUAACUCUCUCUGCCUUCUCUCUAAAUUUUCAACUCUUUGAACCUUUCAAUCUUGAGUUGGAGGGUGCUCAGACGUUCAUCUCACCGAAGGCUUCCUUUUGAACCAAUCGCAUUUUCGAUUGGACCGGGUUUGGUUGAGUUCUCAUUUGGUGAGACACCGUAAAGGAGAGUUCCUGUGAGCUUGUAAUUCGACUCUGAGAUGAUCAUCCACUUUGAUGGGAGCAGAUGGGGUUGAGGAAAUACCUCUAGAGCAAGAGCUGGAGGAGAAUGAUGAGGAAAUACCUCUGGAGCAAGAGCUGGAGGAGAAUGAUGUUGUUGCACAGUCUGCGUAGGAUUUAGAUAUCUAAACUCUUGGAUGUUAAAUACUCAAAACUGUCUGAGUUUAAAACUAUAUAUUAUAUUUUGAAUGACUGUAAUUUCGUACUUAAUUGCAAGUCAUACUCUAACUGUUCUCUUUAUUUGAAUG